AAAGUUUAAGUGUAUGUUUUUUCGGCACAUAUAAACAAGUUUACAAAUAUGAAUACAUUUAUUUUAGAAGUAGGAAGCACACGGUUCUCGUUGCUCUUAUAUUGGCAAUUCAACACAAAUAAAGAACGUUUAUGAAGUGAAUAAUACUACCUCUACUCGUCUGGAGUGAAAUAAUAUUGUCGAUACAUCGGGUGUUGUACUAUAGCUGGACGUUUUGGAAGCAUGGAAGAAUUGAUUGUUGGAGGGGUGAUAGGAGGGAUAAUAUGUAUAUUCAUAGUAUUAUUCAUGAUUAUUUGUUUCUGUUUGCAAUCUGAGGAACGCCGUAACAGAAUCAGACAGAUAAAUAUACAACCAGCAAACGAUAUCUUUAUCAGAAUACACCAAACAAGGUAUCCCCCACGAGGACCACCACCGGCGUACCCGGUAAGAUAACACAAAUUAAAGGCAAUAACAAUAGUAUAUUCCACGAGGACAACCACUGGCUUACACAGGAAGAUAACAUAAUUUAAGCCAAUAAUGAAAGUAUUGUCCACGAGAACCACCACCGGCGUACUCGGGGAAUAACAUAAAUUAAAGGCAAUACCAGUGGUUUACUCCAGGACCACCACCAGCGUACCCAGGAAGAUGACAUAAAUAAAAGAUAAUAACAAUUGUAUACUUCACGAGGACAACAACCGCCGUAAAAGAAGAGAUAACAUAAAUCAAAGACAAUAACAACGGUGUACUCAAGGACCACCACCGUCGUAACCGUGAGAUAACAUAAGUUAAAGGCAAUAGCAAUAGUACACUCCACGACAACCACAGGCGUACCUGGGGCGAACACAAAUUAAGGGCAAUAACAAUGGUAUACUCCAGGACAAUCGCCGGCUUACCCAGGGAGAUAACAUAAACAAAAGACAAUAACAAUGAUAUACUCCACGACGACAACCACUGGCGUAACUGGGGAGAUAACAUACAUUUAAGACAAUAGCAAUAAUGUACUCCAGGACAACCACCGGCGUAUCCAGGGAGAUCAGAUAAAUAAAAGGCAAUUACAAUGGUAUACGCUACGAGGGCAACGACCGGCGUACCCAGGGAGAUAACAUGCAUAAAAGACAAUAACAAUGGUAUACUCCACGAGGACCACCACCGACGUAACUGGGGAGAUAACAUAAAUCAGAGACAACAACAAUGGUAUACUCCACGAGGACCAAAACAGGCGUAUCCAGGGGGAUAACUUAGUUAAAAGACAAUUACAAUGGUAUACUCCACGAGGACAUCUACCGGCGUAAACGGGGAGAUAACAUAAAUCAAAGACAAUAACAAUGGUGUACUCCUCGAGGUCAUCCACCGGCGUAACAGGGGAUAAAAAAUAAAUUAAAGGCAAAAAAAUUGGUAUAUUCCACGAACACAACCACUGGUGAUACCGCGGAGAUAGUAUAAAUUAAAGGCAAAAUCAAUGAACAAGCUUUACUAAAAUUGUCUGUUCAUAAAUUUUGAAAUUAUGAUGAAACUAAGGUUUCAACUCUCUCAGGCAAAUUUGGCCUCAGACGAAUUUGGCUAUUUAUUUUUGGUAUUUUUGACAUAUAGCUCUUCAACGGUUUUCGGUACUUAUACAUCUUCGGAUUUCAAAUGUUUGGCUUUGAGCGUUCCUGAUGAGGGUAAAUCCAAUAAAUUAUAAACGUGUUGUUUUCCAUUUAUACAAAAUAUGCAAAGUAUAAAUUAAAGGCAAUAACAAUGAUACAAAAUAUGCAAAGAGACCAAACCAGUUCCAACAAAGUGGACUGCAUGAUAGUACUUCCAAGAGCAGGUCAUGAACAAACCGUUUUGACGUGUCUGUUGGAAAUUCUGUUUAAAGAUUUGAAUAAAUUCGACUUUGUCAAAAUUGAUCAGUCAGAAUCAAGAAUUAACUCUCAUCCCAGUGUUAUCGGCUAAGCCGGCGAUACAAAUCGAAUAUUCAGAUAAAAAUACACAAAUUUACUCUUACCAAUUUCGGACCACGUUCAUGAACCACUGGAAUAAGAGCAAGCAAGCAACAAUAAAUCUUCAGAAGAGAUCAUGGGAAAUUGAAGAGUAGCUAGAUGACAUCUGACAAGGACGCAAAUUAUCGACGAAUGAUUACAGCAGGUUUCACUGGCAUAUUUGUUUUAAAAUAAAGUAAAACGAAAAUUGUAAAAGUAACUUUAAUUCAAUGCAUAAUAAAAAAUAUAUAAAACAACAAUAACUGUUUUCAAAUAGUCCUGACUCAUUCAACUUUUUUACAACUUCACAACAGUACAACCCAUUUUGUCUGUUAUAAAAAAUCUGACUAUGAUUUUUCAAAUGACUGUAAUGUUUGUCAUUUCUGUAACGGUAUGGUAUCUCCGAGCUUAAUUUGAUUGUAGACCACUGUUUUGAUAUGCUACUUCUUAUGAAUAAUGUAUUUGUCACAUCAUAUGAAUAAAUGAAUUGAAAAUG